rnacentral:lncRNA from 10 species
CACCCAUCCCCUACUGCUCUAGCCUCCCUUGGGAGAGCUCCAGUCUUGUAUCAUCACACCGUACUCUCCCACAGCACAUGGCAAAGUUGCAAUAUAACUUAGGAUCACAGGGCUGAUGCUUCCCCUCCCAACCCACCUUUCUUGUUGGCAGGUGAAGUGCCAAGGCCUGCGCACACUCACAGAGACCUGCGCCGCUUCCCUCCUCGUGCAGGGUCCCCCUUCGGAGUCUGGAGAAAGGAAGAAUGGCCAGAGGCCACUCCCUCUCCUUGGGAGCUCCUGCCGGGAUGCCAACCUGGGCUUCAGGAUGGGAUGACCUCAGAGGGCAACUCGGAACUGUAAUUAGCCUCCACUGUAAUCCCCGCCACUCCCAACUCAGACUCAGAACUCUGGGGGCUUGGCAGCUCAGCCCAGACCCCCAGCUUCCUCCUCCUAUCCAGCGGGUGUAACAGGCACUCAAAAACUGAUUACUAAACAGGGAAGGGGACUUGGAGGCCUGAUUUGUGGAGAUCUUGAUAAAAUCUUGCCUUAUACAUGUCCUAUUCUUG